rnacentral:sRNA from 1 species
CUGUGUUCUUAUAGAAGGCUGAAGUCAAGCCAUUGACCAAAACAAUGAUUUUACUGGAUGCUCACUGCCUCCUUUUGUUGCUUGGAAGAAUUCAGUUCCAUGUGUUUAUGGGGCUGAGCUGUUUUCAUGCUGACUUUGAGGUAAGAGUUGCUCUCAAUUCUUGAAUUGAGUCCCCAUCACUUGACCCUCAGCACACAGUGACUUACUCAUAGUGGCUUACUCCUCCAGGCCAGGAGGGGGUACUAUUCCCCAGGAGAACAGAGCUGCUCUGUGAUGUAAGGUUGCCAUGGCAGUCAUGUUUUCCAAGUACCUGGACCUAACUACACCACAAAGCUAAGUAGAUGUCCUAUCCAUGGUCACUUCUACUUGUAGGAAAGAAGAUCAGAUAGUGCUCAAACCUUCAGGAACUACUUAGUAUUCUGCCACCUAAUGGUAGACCUCACAGUUCUUUGCUACUAGCUGGUGGUAAAAGAACCCAUGCAAAAAAUGUAGCAAAGUGAGAAGGUAUGUACUUCAUAAAUUUCAUGUGGCCAUAUUUAGAGUCUCAUAGGAAAUGUAUCUCUACAAUGUGUUACUAAUGGAGAAACAAACAAUGUAUUAAGAAGUUGGACUCAGAGCAAUGAAGGGUAAGAAACAAAGCACUUUGAACUACAGACUCUGACUAACACACACAGGCAGUGAGCCAGGAAGGGACCGCGACAUCUUACUGCUGUUGAAAACUUUAAACUCUGCCAGCCUUAAACAAAAGCCAAAGCUCUACAAUGUAUCUGCCACUGUCAAUCAAUAAGGACUGAUUGGUUGACUCAAAAUGGCCCUCCAAAAAUGUUCAUGUCUCGAUCCACAGAAUCUGUACCUUAUGCCACAUGGUGAGAGGGCCUUGAGGAAUGUGAUUAAAGAUCUCAAGAGAGGCUAAUCCAGCUGAAGGGAAGAAAGGACGAUGAUGAUGGGCAAAGAGUGAAGAUUCCUUUUAACACCUAGAGGGCUAAAGUGGAAGACUGUUCUUGGGAGUCGUCACCAAAGAUGAAGAAGCAGAAGCAAAGGAUGCUGGGAAGUUUGCUAGAGCUUAACACAAGUCAUGGGUCACCUGGGAUUCUCUGAAAGAAGGCUGUUGGUGGAGACCCUUCUUUGCUUCUGGGCCACUGUGUCACUUUAUAUUCUUUUCCUCAGUAUCCUGUGGGAUUCAAGACUGGCAGGCAGUGAUGGAUGGUGCUCUCUCUACACAUUCAAUAGAGAAAUGUUUGAGUAAAUCAUGUGCUUCAUUCAUAUGCCAUUCAACAGCAGUUUAGUGUCUUGAAAACACUCCAUGAUACUUUGAAAUCUCUAUGAGGUAAUGUUGAAUAAAAAUCAAAUAAUUUAAGAAUAAAUAUAAUUUUAAGAAGUAAAUCAGACAAAGCGUGUUAUAAUGUUAACACUGGUUGUUUGU